CCGAAGUUGGACGCUUAACUGAGCCACCCAGGCCCCCAACCUUUUCUUUUAUAAUCUCUGACCUAUAUCACACCUGAAAGAGCUCUUCCCCGCCUGAAGAAAUAUUUAUUUACAUUCUCUUGUCUAUAAGCACAUGCCAUAUGCAUAUGUAAUCGAUCUUUCCCCUAUUAACUAGCAGUGCCCCUUUUCUCAUACAGUACAUUUCUAUCUGUAUGGAUAUAUAUUCUGGAUUCGAUACCUAUUCCGUGAUUUGCUUCUUAUUCCUGUUCCUAUAACACAACCUUUCCCCCAAAUUACCAUAAUGUACUAUUAUCUUUUAAAAAAAGAAGAAGAUAAAGAAUCUUUCUCCUCUCCUGCUGUCUCUUUCAGAAUUCUUCUAGUUAUUUCCUGUGAGAUUAACUAUAUAUAAUUAUUUGAUGCUGGUCUUUUGAUUAGGAUUGUACUGGGUUUACGAAUUAAUUCAGAGGAAAUAGAUAUCUUUAGAUCAUGGUAUCUUCCCUUCCAAGAGGAAGGUCUGUCUCUAUUUAAAUCUUCUUUUGUGUCUGAGGAGAAUCAUGCCAUGGUUUCAGCCCUGGUGCAGCCUUUUCUCUCAUUUUUGUUUCUUUUUGUUCAUUUCUGUCAAGUUUGGGGAGGGUAGUUUUGUAAACCUGCAUUUAAGCCACCACGAUUCCCUGAAGCCUUUAGCUUUGUGCUGCAUUGGGGGCGAAGGCGGAGAUGAUGAGCUGAGGCUGUGGAUGGGGGUGAAAUUCAGAAGGAGAUUAAAUGCUAAGUGAAACAGAACCUUACAAAGCUCCAGCAUUUGGGGGGAAAGUGAAUGUGGUGGGAGUGGCUGAGAGAGAGCACACAGAAGGGAGAGGCCAGAACUAGCCAAAGGGUGUCAAGCAAGCCACAGGAUGAGGACAUUUCAAGAAGGGCACAGUCAACAGAGCCGGUGUUGCUGGGAGGUUGUGGAGAAUAGCUGCGAUGAAGCCGUGGGAUGUGUUGGUUGUGGCUGGUUCAAGGUCAGGUGAUCCUAUCACUCCGCGUUUAAACUGGCACAUUGAAAACGAUUCUGGGACAACAGGGGCAACCCAGGGUUAUUUCUGGCAAACCGGAACACAUGGUGCCCCUGAUUAUGGUGACCUCUGAGAAAGUGGUCUCAGCAGAUGACAUCCACAGUGCCCAUCGUUGUGUCAGUUGAGGAGUCAAGACAGUGAGACUAGAUUGUUCUUUUUAGAAGUCUGGCCAGAAAGGUAAGGAGACAGUUGGGUCAUAGCCGGAGGGAAAUUAAGGUUGGAGGAGGGCUUACUUGCUUGUUAGUUUUUUACACUUGACAGAUUUGUCUAUCUGGGGAGGAAGAGGACUUAGCAAAGAGGGAGAGAUUGAAGACGCAGGGUAUAAAAGGAAAAAUUAAUGAAGACGGGAGACUUAGGAGGGAAAGAAGCAGCCCCAAGAGCCUACAGAAGACCUGAGGCCAGCCUGGAAGAGAAGGAAGGACAGUUCCCAAUAUGAGAGGCAAGUAAAAGAAUGCAUGACAGGCCAGGGAAAAACUGAGGUGCAGAGAAGGAUCUGAGACAACUCAUUUAACUUCUCAAGGAUGGUUGCCGAGAAGGAGGUGGGCAAAAAUCCAUAUGGGGCAAAGAGCGUCCAAAAGGAAAGGCACCUGGGCCCCUUCCUUUGGAGAUCAACAUGGUUAUCCCUUCUCUGAUGGAUUGAGAUGAUUCUAAAUGAGGUCCACUGGUGGUAGGAAGCUUGACAGAUUGUCUAAGCUCAGUACCAGGCCCUAAGCUUGCAGGGUUCUGGCUGGUAUGUGUCUGGGACUGGAAGCUUCUCUCACCCUAACCACUUUGACAGGUUGGGGGUCUUUCUCCACUGGAGAACUCCUUUAGAAAUCCCUUGGAAACCUGUACCAUUGAGGACAUCAAAGCACUGCCUUGCUGGACAAAGAUGCUGGGAUUGUGCAGGACCAGGUUCUACAGGGAUACCUCGGUGUGGCAACAGAAGCCAUAGCUAAUCAGAGGCUCCAGUGCUCUCGUCUGUCCCCUGGCUUUGGAUGAGCCAGCUCUUUUGAGGACGUCCUUGUAUGUUUUGACAAUUCGGGGUGGAGGAAAAACCGAAGACAGACAGACUGUACUUCUUGUCACUUCAGAUGGGCUUGAGUAGUUAGUGUGAAUAUUUAUGAAACAUUUAUCUUAUUUCUUCCCCAACUUGAUAAAGCAGGUUCAUAUAAUAGAAUGUUCGACAGACAUUCGAAAUGAUAUCAGAAAAUAAAACAAGUAAACUUGAUGAUAUGAAAAAAUAUUUAGGGCACAUUAACUGAAAAACGGGUAUGAACACAGCAAUCUGAUUUUUUUUUAAAGAAUAUGUAGUAUGUCCAUACAUGGACAGAUAGAUGACUGUAAGUAUAUACCAGCUAGCAGUGACUGUUUCUGAGUGGUGGAAUGUGGAAUUAAGGGUGACUUUUCUUUUUCCCUGACCUUUAUUUACAAAUUUUUUGACAAUGUGUUUGUAUUGCUUUUUCUUAGUUAAAUAAUGUGGUUAUUAUUUUUUUUUGAAGGAUUGCCAAGCAGCAGUGGGACCCCAUCUGAGCCUGAAAGAGAAAUCUGUCAAGGGGCCCAUGUAUCAGGUUGAGUUUACUCCCUCCAGCUGCACUCAGCAGCUUCCCUUUCCAAAGGGAAAACAGCCUGGCCAAAUUUAGCGAUGUCCUUAGCCCAGUGCUGCUCACAGGUCACCCAUGGGACACAUCCAGGAAGAGCCUCCCUACAUUCCCCACCUGGGGCUCCAUGGACAGCCCACCAUCGUUGAGCUGGCAUCUUCAAUCCAGGAGAAGGUCCACGAUGCCAUGAGAAUCCCAAAGGCAUGUGUGACUCACAAGACAGUAAAGCCCCUGACUCAGGUCCUUGGAGGAAGAAGUGCCUCCUGCUGGGUUGUGCCCUCCCGUGAGACCCAGUCUGCCCCCCCUCUGGGUUUCUUCCACUGCUAUGGCUCUGCAGGCAGACUGUCCCCAGAGCCAUCUGGAGCUGUGUGCCUCGCUGCUCACCUGGACACAGCGCUGCGCCUCUAUCGACUGCCCUAGUUAAGAGCUGUUGAGCUGACUGCAGAGACCAAGUCUGCACCUGCCCCCUCCAGAGGUGGCCAGGCUUUGAGGUGGGGUAUAAGCAAAAGCCCUCUGAAUCUCUGGGCUUGCAGGAAGGAGCAGGAGUCCUGGAGCCAAAAAAGACGUGCACUUUACCUUGGAUCUGUGACUCCUUGACAAGUUAACGAGCGUCCCUGAGACUGUUUCCUCAUCUACAAAAUGGGGGGGGGGGAAAUAAUGCCUCCCUACAGGGGUGUUGUAAAGAUUAACUGAAGUAAUGGCUAUAAAGCACCAGGAACCCGAUAAACGUUAGCUGUUAUCUGGCACAAUUGGAUCCAGAAGUUUUCUCCACGGUGUUUGGCAGGAGGCUGUGCAGCUCUGCCCUGGGGAACUGCACCCUCCUGGGGAGGCCCGGCCUCCAUUUGGACAGCUCUGUGAGAAAGUUCGGACAUCAGUCAGGAACCCUUUGCGUUGACGUGACAGAAAUUCAACUCAAACGGCUCACCAAAAAAGGGAUUUUAUUGGCCCAAGAAAUCGGAAAGGGCAGGAGUCGAGGUGAUUUCAAGGGCUCUGGAGACCCAAACAGUGUUGUCAGGACUUUCCUCCUCUCCCUUCACAACUCUUGGCUUUCUUUCUCCAUGUAAUUGAGGAGAA